UGGUCAAAUAUCACCAUCUGC
rnacentral:miRNA from 1 species